UGUUUAAUAAAAAAGAUCCAGCAGCAGAAUCUAACCCUCUACCUUCCCUCCUUUAGACGGUGAACGGAUUAGCUGUCCAAACUCUUAGGAGAAGGCAGAAUGGAUGGACAUGUCACACACAUUGUUCUCUGGGAAGGUUCUUCAUCUGGUGCUUCCAUGGGUGAAACUAAAGAAGAGGUGAUCUCUGUACAUGCUGGCUCUCCUUUACCAUCUGCCAUGAGUGGAAGCAGCCUGAGUCCCUCUCCAGAAGCAGAUUCUGGCACCAUGAUUCCUAUACAGCCUAUAGAGCUGUGAGCUAAAUGAACCUGCUUUCUUUGUAAAUUACUCAGCCUCAGGUCUCCCUUUUUAACAAUACAAAAACAGACUAAAACAAAAAGUCAUUGAUAUUAAUGUAUUAACAUAAGCACAUUUCUUAUAUCCUGUGCCUAAUAUAUAAUAUCUGCUCUAAAAAAUAGUUUUCUUUUACUAAUACUAAGAAGAUACUACAUUUAGUAAACAAUGGAGAUCCUGAGGCUAACAUCUGGCUGAGGGUGAUGAAAGAAACCUGCUAUGAUUAUGCCUGGUUCUGUGACAACCAGAGGCUCAGCCUGGGACACUGACUGUUCUCUCUGACCUCACAGAAAAGGCACUGCCGGUAUUCCUCUUGGCUUUCUCGGUGAGACAAUGAAGUGAGAAAGGAAGAAAGGAAAGAACAUGCCACAGUUGCUGUCACAGAGAAAAGGAAUGGAAAAUUGGUUGGACUGAGGGGAUAAAGAUGUACCUCUCGGGGACAC